rnacentral:rRNA from 1 species
GAUGAACGCUAGCGGCAGGCCUAACACAUGCAAGUCGAGGGGCAGCAUAGUUGUAGCAAUACAAUUGAUGGCGACCGGCGCACGGGUGCGUAACGCGUAUGCAACCUACCCAGAACAGGGGGAUAACACUGAGAAAUUGGUACUAAUAUCCCAUAACAUCAUAAGGGGCAUCCCUUUUGGUUGAAAACUCCGGUGGUUCUGGAUGGGCAUGCGUUGUAUUAGCUAGUUGGUGAGGUAACGGCUCACCAAGGCAACGAUACAUAGGGGGACUGAGAGGUUAACCCCCCACAUUGGUACUGAGACACGGACCAAACUCCUACGGGAGGCAGCAGUGAGGAAUAUUGGUCAAUGGACGCAAGUCUGAACCAGCCAUGCCGCGUGCAGGAAGACGGCUCUAUGAGUUGUAAACUGCUUUUGUACUAGGGUAAACUCAGAUACGCGUAUCUGACUGAAAGUAUAGUACGAAUAAGGACCGGCUAACUCCGUGCCAGC